UACGAAGGGGGCUAGCGUUGUUCGGAAUUACUGGGCGUAAAGCGCACGUAGGCGGAUCGUUAAGUCGGGGGUGAAAUCCUGGAGCUCAACUCCAGAACUGCCUUCGAUACUGGCGAUCUCGAGUUCGGGAGAGGUGAGUGGAACUGCGAGUGUAGAGGUGAAAUUCGUAGAUAUUCGCAAGAACACCAGUGGCGAAGGCGGCUCACUGGCCCGAUACUGACGCUGAGGUGCGAAAGCGUGGGGAGCAAACAGG
rnacentral:rRNA from 1 species